GAUGAACGCUGGCGGCGUGCUUAACACAUGCAAGUCGAACGAAGCAUUUGCGACAGAUUUUUUCGGAAUGAAGUUGCUUAUGACUGAGUGGCGGACGGGUGAGUAACUCGUGGGUAACCUGCCUUGUACUGGGGGAUAGCAGCUGGAAACGGCUGGUAAUACCGCAUAAGCGCACAAUGUUGCAUGACAUGGUGUGAAAAACUCCUGUGGUAUAAGAUGGACCCGCGUCUGAUUAGCUAGUUGGUGAGAUAACAGCCCACCAAGGCGACGAUCAGUAGCCGACCGGAGAGGGUGACCGGCCACAUUGGGAAUGAGACACGGCCCAGACUCCUACGGGAGGGAGCAGUGGGGAAUAUUGCACAAUGGAGGAAACUCUGAUGCAGCGACGCCGCGUGAGUGAAGAAGUAAUUCGUUAUGUAAAGCUCUAUCAGCAGGGAAGAUAGUGACGGUACCUGACUAAGAAGCUCCGGCUAACUACGUG
rnacentral:rRNA from 1 species